GUACUACAGAGUUUCCUUUCAUCCCUAGCAACUGAUGGGUGACAAAGGGAAUCUUGAACCUCUGCCUCACAAAGACGAACAAAGCUGACUCAAGGCACCUGUGUUCAGGAAUCUGACUAAGCUAGAAAGGGCAAAGCGACCCACGAUGGGUCUUCUUCCCUUGUGGCCACUGGCAGCUUCUGAGAUCUACAGACUGGAUGAUUAAGAAAACUUGCCAAAAACGGAGACAGAAGCAGGAGUUAAAAGGAAAGGUCUCAGCCUGCUAUGAACCCCAUCCUCUGCUCCUCGACAAUGAUCCUCCAGUCCCCACAUCCCAGCAUCAGCCUACACCGAACCCUGUUCUCUGCUUACCCACAACUCUAAGCUGAUCCUUUGACUGGAGCCUAGCAUGGCUGUCCUUUGAGAGGCUCCACCUAGCAGUUGACUCAGAUGCAGAAAUCCACAGCCAAAGAUUGGAUGGAGCUUGGAACUCUUUUAUGGAAGAGUUGGAGGAAGGAUUGAGGGCCCAGAAGGGGAUAGGAACUCCACAAGAAGACCAACAGUCAACUAACCUGGACCCUUGGGGGCUCUCAGAGACUGGACCACCAACAAAAGAGCAUUCAGUGGCUGGAUCUAACUGCCCCCUUUUGCCUGUACUAUGGACAGCUCUCAACCCACCCCUACCUGCCCUCGGGGGUUGGGGGUGAGUUGGCGCAGAGUCAAGGACAUGGACAGACCCCUGGUAACAG
ensembl:lincRNA